rnacentral:rRNA from 1 species
GAUGAACGCUAGCUACAGGCCUAACACAUGCAAGUCGAGGGACCGGCGCACGGGUGCGUAACACGUAUCCAACCUGCCCUUUACUCGGGGAUAGCCUUUCGAAAGAAAGAUUAAUACCCGAUGUAAAGGAUGGGGAUGCGUUCCAUUAGGUUGUUGGGGAGGUAACGGCUCACCAAGCCUUCUAUGGAUAGGGGUUCUGAGAGGAAGGUCCCCCACAUUGGAACUGAGACACGAUCCAAACUCGUACGGGAGGCAGCAGUGAGGAAGAUUGGGCAAUGGGCGUUAGCCUGAACCAGCCAAGUAGCGUGAAAGAUGAAGGCUUAUGGAUCGUAAACUUCUUUUAUAUAAGAAUAUGUAUUUAAUGAAUAAGGAUCGGCUAACUCCGUGCCAGCAGCCGCGGUAAUAC